GCAGUCCUCUGGAGUUCAAUGGUGUUCCUGUGUGUGGGCAGCUGCCUGAAGCCUUCUGAAGAGGUGAUCCAGAUGGUGAUCAGGACAGCAGGGACUUGUACUGCUCCAACCAGCCUGGCCUCCCUCCUGAAGACUUGAAAGCAGUACUUCAACACUGGGGUAUGUUAUGUGAGAGAGUGUGAAAUAAACACUGUCCUCUGCUCUCCUGGCUUCCACCAAGAUUGGUCAGGCACUAUGUGCCCUUUGGGAAUUCAUUCUGACUGCUCCUGAUUUCCUUUAUCUCCUUCAUGUGUCUGAAAAAGGAUCCCAGGAUUAUUUGCUUCACCAGAUUUGCAGGGAUGCAGGAAGCCUUUCCAGCUGCCACGACCUUUCAGAGAUAAUCAGGCAAGGCCAUCGCCAGCUUCCUCAGCUCUCAUGGCUGCAUCCAUCAGAUCCCAAGGACCUGUGUGUGCCCAGUGUGUUUAAGUAUUCCUUAACUUCACUCCCCUCAACUGAGGGCAAGUCUUCCUUGCUCUGAAAAUAAUUCCAUUAAAAGCAAGUUAGAGCAGCAUGCUGCUAUCAGUAUUAAGCUCUUGGAUUUUAAUCUAAUGGGGUGUUUUAGUUUUCUUUUUUUCCCAUCAGAGUGAUCCUGGAAGGUGCUGAGCACCCAAAAUUCCACUGGCAGUAUCUUGGCCUCUGGGCUCCCAAUAGCAUUUCAUAGGAUCAGCCUCUCCAGAAUCACUUAUGUGUUUUGUGUGUAAAGUUGAGGAAUGAAUCUUGGAGAUAUGACAUACAUUUUGUUUGUUGUUUUAGGCCACUUUAUACUUGAUCUGAUCUUCAAGGUCAGUGUUCUUGUCUCUCUUGAAAGAUAAACAAGCUCGUGUCCUCCUUUGGCCAGGACAUCACAUCUCAAAAGUAUGUGUGACAGAGCUGCAGUUUACAUUUCAUCUGCUCCAGCAGUCGGUUCUGACAGCUGCUAGGAGAGCAGCAGAGUGCUGCUCCCUGCCUGCCUCCAUCAUUGCUGUAAUUCCUUCUUGCAGCAAUGGCCUGGGAAAGUUUUUAUCUGACGUGGGUAGGUGAUAACACAGUGGUCACACUCAUGUGAAAAAAUGGUGAUGUUCUUGUACCAUUAGCAGGGCUUGAAAGUUCUUCUCUUCCCUCCACGUUCUGUUCUCUCUACCAAGAACCUUCACACUGAGGGAUAUUCUUUAACUAUUCCACACCAGGCCUUUAACAGAGACUUAGUGGCAAUUUUCAUAUGUCUCAAUAGAUUAAUAGUGCAGCUUUUGUGAUUUCUUUCUGGGUUUUUUUUCGUUAAGCUUCUCUCAUUUUUCAGUCCACAAAUCAUCACUUUCUUGAGUUUCCCGUUGUUUGGUUCCCAGGACCAAAAAGUUGAGAUAAAAUCUCAGUAGAGUGAAUUUCUGGUGGGAAAUGUAAAAUUGUAGAAAUUCCCCACAUGACAAAAAUCUGCAUACAUUCACAUUCCGUUGUGAUUUGUUUUUUUUCAAUGUAGUAUUGUAUGUAAUAUAAUAUUCUUUUUAAAAGUGAUCAAAAUUCCAAAGUUCAAACUAUGGGUUUUUUUGGGAAUGCUGAAUAGGAAUUCAAAGACAUAAAAAGUGGUUUAAUUUGAAAUUUUUAUUCUUGAAAUUUUUAUUCUGUUGGAAUUUUAUUAGAAUUGACAUGUUAAUUUUGUAAUUUAUCCCAGGGAAACGGAUCAAUUUUAAAUAGUCAUUAUUGUAUUACUAUCAGCUUUUGCAGUGGUUUUUGCAUUAUUUUUCUGUGUUGUGAUAGGUGAAAGAGAAAAUUUAGGAAAAAUUGUCUUUAUUUACAAGAAAUUUCAUCCUGACUCUGUAGCCUGUCCUUUCCCACUUCUCUCAGUUUUUAAAAGAAGUUCUGGGUGUGCUUCCAGAGGUCUUUUCUCUGGAGCACUCUGCUGGGAAGAGCUGGCAAUCUAAACAAAAGAGAGAAAGGGUGGAAAUGUUAAUGUCACCACUCUGCUAAUGGAGUUGUGAUAAACACACAGAAGUCACCUGGGAUUAACCCUGGGACAGAGCCAGGAGCUGAACCCUGUCACCCAGGCCCUGGUGCAGCACAAUGAAAUCCUCUUUUGCUAAGGAGCUCUGCCAUAGGUGGCAGCAAGCGAGAGGCAGUAAAAACUGAGCAAUUUUCUGUUUAUUUCCUUCUGGUGGCUUACAUCCCUCACCUGUAGCACCAGCACUGAAAUAAACUGAUAGUCACCACAUUGAAUAAAGCCUCAGAAACAGUCUAUUUAACCCUUUAGAAACAUUUAUUUUCAUUAUUAAGUCACUUACAUGACAUGACACAGCUUUCUUAAAUCCCAUAAAUAUUCCUGGUCCUGGUCUGAGACAAGUAGUUAAUGAAAUGCUGGCCCCUACUCCAGAUUGUAAAUAGGUUUAUUUCUCUACUACAGAAAGAUACCAUUGGAGUGAACAAAGGAAUUUCCUUCUAUUAUUUGUGAGCUGCAGGAGGCUAAACAAUCUAUUGCAUUAUGAGCUGCACUCUCACACAGAUAUUCACAUACACUGCAAAAGAAUUCAUGCUUUGUCUGGAGGAAAAUGGAGUCCCAGAGGUAAUUUCUGGACUGUGUGGGAAAUAAUGCCUCCUGCAGAAAAUUUAUAGCUAUGAUUGUUUAAUUGAAAUGAGAAAUAUAGUGUUAAAUGUUUUUAACAAAAGCAUUCAAUUGUUUCAUGUUUUUUAGCUGACUCCUACCACUGCUAAUUUAUAGAAAUCAUAAAUCCUGGACAGAGUUUCAGGUCACUUCACAGGCACUAGUUUGACUAAAUUCAAUAUAUUGUUUUGAUCACAUCAUAAAUUUCUUGAAUGAUUAUGCAUUUAGUUUGAACUUAGUGCUGCUCUACAUUGAAAAUAAUAGAUUUUAUACCAAAUUUCAUAAAACAUCAUUUGGGAAUAACAUUGCUAAAUACAAGAAAUAUUUAUUUCAGUGUAUGACUGGCAGUAAGGGUUGUCUGAGAAACAGAUUGUCUUGAGAAGGGUCUUUUCUGAGUGUUUAGCUGAAAGUGAAUAUUAUAGGUGUGACAACCAACCAGGCAAAAGCCUGUCACUGCAGAGCCCAUGGCACCAUUCAGUUCCUGUGUGGGUUGGUGCUGUCAGCCUCCUCACAUGACCCUGCUGUGCUUGGGCUGGAGGCUUCCAAUUGAUCAGACAUGAUUUUAGUUAUGAGGCCCCUGCAGGAGCUACCCUUGGCACGCUCAGCCUGAUGAAUUUUCUCAUCUGUUGGCAUGAAUUUACAGUAUGGGUAAGCAUUGUGUUCAUCUGCAUGGAAAAGGGGCAGCUCUGAAACGAAAUUCAAGUUCAUACUAAUUUUUUUGAAUCGGAGCUGAGCGUGACUUUUUUUUUUUUCCUGGAAAAAAGAAAGUGAGGUUUCCCAACCUGACUGAAAAUAAAAAACCAAAACGAACACACAACAACAAAAAAAACUCACCAAGGAAACAACUAACUUUCUGACAUAUCUUUGUCUCUUAUCUCAGAGUCCUUCACAGGCUUUCAGGGAGGUGUAUUAAUCCCCACGGUUUUACCUCUACUCUCCUUUCCCUUUCCAGCUGUUCUUGCCUUCUGAGAUCUCUGAUAAUGUGUCUUCGGAGUUUUGGGGGGAUUAUCAGCAGGUGCACAAUUUCCUUUUUUGCUCCAGCUCCUGUGUCAGUAAAAGGAGCAUCAAUGCAGCCUUGCCUGUUCCACAGCAGCUGGGAGCCAAAGCUCAUGCUUCUAAAGCCCAUUGAGCUGGGUACAUGCUAAUGUCAGAUAAGGGUAGCUUAGUGAUUGUUAUUUCUUUGGCUUAAUUGAUAAUAGGAAUAAUUGAAAGUGAAGAUAACAUUUAACCCUUUGGGCUUAGGUAGAUUUGAGAGGCUGUAUUGUUUUUAUCUACUGACUCUUUCUGAUGAGGUGAAUUUUAUCCCUCAGGAGAAAAAAAUUGAUUCCAGCAGUAACACUGAAGAAAAGCUCUGUGAUACACAGAGGAAAAAAAAGAGCCUUGUAUGCCCUUUAGAUCCUCUGUCCCUUUCUCCUCAAUUCUGAAUCCACUUUUCCUUUGCAUAAGACUGCCAUUAAACAAUGAAAAGCUCAAGGCAGUUGUGGUCUUGCAGUCACCAUUUAAGGGAUGUUGGGAGUCAGGGAGAAGCACUAAAUUGCUUGUCUAAUGAUAAGCCAAAGCUAGCAUUCACUGCAUGGGUUUUGGACCAGGCAAGGAGCUUAUGUUAACUCUGUGCUUGCAGAGAUUCCUCAUAGGAUGGCUUUUUAAAUUCAUUUAAAUCCUCUCUUGUUAACCAGUGAUGCCCAGAGCAGCUUUUAUGGUUGGCUUUGAGGAGAGCUGAGAACUGUAGAUGAAUGAUGUAGAUACAACCAGGUAUUUCCCUGAAAAAUAUCUAUCCAUCUAUAGCUAUUCAACUUCUCCUGUUGAGUUAAACUAAUAAUUUAAAGAUAACCAUCAGACAUUUUUCAGCAAACCCCUCACUGAAACAAUUGCAUGUUUCAUAGUUUUCAAAAGCUUCCACAAAAGUCAGCAGAUUUAUGAUUUAAAGAAAAACACCCUAUCACAUUCAACAGCUUGUAAAAACAAACUUCCUCCCCAGUUAGGCAUUCCCUGAUCUCAGUGCAAUCUUUUUAAAGGGCAAUUACUGGAUAGGAACAUUUUAAAAUGUUUGGUUGAAGGUUUCUUGUUGUCUCAGUGAAUUGUUCGCACUGAGCGUGUACUUCUGUUUGCUCUUGUGGUGCACUUGAGCUGCACUUGCUGACAGUAUUAAAUGCAGCUCAGUGCAAACAGCUUGUGAAAAAAGCUGACUUUUAGCAAAGAGGAAACAAUCAGUCCCUGGAAACAUAGGAACUUGUGUAGAAAUUCAUCAUCACUUCUCUGGUAACUCGCCAGGCUUUCAGGGCUGACUGUGCUUUUGAGAACUGGUCCUCACCCCGCGGGGUCACAGUUCCUCACGUGCCACUCUUGGGCUUGGGAGAAGGAGCUGUGAGCAGAUCUGGGAAAGGGGCAGUUCUUUUCUCCCCAGGUAGCAAAUCCAGCCUUCCAGGCAGGACUAUUGCCAUGAUAUUCAGUUUUUCAUUUGGAGAAUGAAAGUGUCGUGAGCAAAAUUCAGCACUAGAGCCAACCCAGUCUUUGGUUAAAGUUUGGGUGUAAAGUUAAUAGGGUCUUCAUCAUCUUCUUCCUCUUAUUUUUUUAAAAACAAAGAAAAAUGAUGUAAUCUUUUACUACCUAGCCUCCAUUUUCCUCAUGCAUGUAUUUCUCAGUUAUGGUCCCAAUGUUUCCCAUCCCUAGGGAACUGAGUCUACUUCAGUCAAAAAAUGGCAGCAAUGUUUGAACUUUCUCAUAUGGAUUGGCUCAAACACCCAGUGAAAUCAAAAAUGCUUUCAGUUGCUCAGCAAACCAUGCCCAUAUAAUGGUGCAUACUACUUAGGAAUAUAACCACAGGAAAAUCAGGAAGCUGGGAGAUUUCUCAGAAGACAUAACUGGACUCUAUUUAACUUAAUCUCUGAGGUACCCUUAAAUAUUCAGUUAUGUAAUAAAUGUGGUCAGGAAUUAUUUGUUGAAAUGGUUUAUGUGUGUGUUGGAAAGUGGCACUUCAUCAGAACCACAACUUUUUUUCUUUUUCUGAAAUAUUACUCCAGUUUCAAUAAAACUUUCAACAAGACAGAUAUUUUAAGUCCAAGGCAGAAUUUGGUGGGCCUGGAACUGGGGAUGUCCAUCCAGGAAAAGUUAAUCCAGAAAAUGUGAUAACAAAAACAAAUUAGUGCACAUGGCCUGUAAUUAGAAUUUAACUGGAAAUUAAAAGACAAUUGUGUAGCAAUGGGAAGACAAAUGUAAUGGAACAGAUUUCCAAUUGAAAUAGCAAAAAUACUCAUCUGAUAGGGCAGAUUCUUAUUUAGUUACUAAGGGAUUCAGGAGCUUCUGUUUGUGAAAGAGAUCACAUGUAUGUUUGCCUCUAAUUGCAGAGAGGGAAAGGGAGACACUGUCAGGCCCAUUCCAUUCUUCUAUUUCUUAAAAAGUCUUCAAAAUUUUUGUAUUCAUCUUGCUGCCAUACGGUGUCAGGCUUUGAGCUUCAGGUGAGAUGGAGCAAUAAAACUGUUCCCUUCACAAGUUUAUUUGUAAACUCAUACUUUAUACAAGCAUUUGAAUUAGUUGCCCAAAUGGAAGCUAAGUAAUGCUAUCUAAAUUUUGUGUAUUUUCUUGCAGUUGUAUUUAUAGUUAUAGUGACAUUUCUCAACUUAGCAAAGCCCAGGAACAGGGAAAAUGUGAUGAAGAGCUGUAUGCUGCAGAACCCUUCCUGUUGACAUGAGGAAAGUGAUAUGUUUGAGAGAAAUUUGCAAUUUGCUUCUCCUUGGAUUGCAUCUGCAGUUAGAAAAUGAGCCCACUCCUGAGCAGAAGUGAUGAAAGACAAUAUUAAUCUUAGUGGGGUGCUCAGACACGGCACACCAAGUACCUGGAUAGAAAACUGACAGCCAGGACUAGGCAAAUUACUAAUUGCAAAUUGCUAAUUGCUUUCCUUCAGCUCAGGCUUUUUGGCAUUGCUUUGUGACCUGUUAUGUUGUCACAAGAUGUAGGUGCUAACUAUGAAGUAUGUGACUGUAAAAUAUAGAUUUGUCAGUGACAGAGCCAUGCUGGAAUGAUAAAGAGAAGCUUCCCUUUUCUGCUCUAGUGCUUUUCUUCACACAGCAGGGUGGUUACAUGGAGAUCUGAAAAAUUUUGUGCAGAGGGAAAUGGGAAGAAAUCUGAAUUCUGUCAAGAGUACCUUUCCAGGAUGUGAAAUUGCCCAAACAGAAUUCAUAGUGGGAUAUAAUAAAAUGUGGUUUUCCUCAUUAAUAUACCUGAUGCAGCCUUUAGCUGCUUGCUUACAAAGACUUGAAUUGAACUAGGACUGACCUAAUGUCACUUUCCUUUCAAGGAAAUCUGUUGUGCACAUUUUCUUGACUAAGAGCCCACAGUGUUUCUGUGGUUUGCCAUAUGAUAGCAUAAGGGUUGUUUGAUUAAGGACUGUGAAGGUGUUCCUGCUCCCCAGAAAAAAACAAUCCCUGGACUCAGGGCAAUACAUAAUCAAGCUUCUAAAAAGUAAUUGUGUUUUUUAAAAGGAAAAUGUUAACAGAACUAAAGAAUCCAAAAAUGCCUGGAGCACCACUUCUGGAGGUGAAUUCUCCCAGAACCCUUGCUACAACACAGAAAAACUGCAAUACCAUUUCUGUGCUAAAUAUUAACAGCAGUACCACAGUUCCUGACCCUCAGAGAUGUUGACAGUGUGAAUCCAGAGGUGAUAGAUGUGUUUCAGCCGUUUGGGCUUUUGACCUUUUCAGUAUUUGUUUGCCAUUUCAUUCUCUCACCUAUAACCCGGAGAUUUAUGGCAGAGCAAACUUAUUAAUCCUAACAACCAUAUUUUCAUUUGGAAGCUGAACUGGCUGUCAAUAAACAUCAAAAGGACUCCUUGGCUUCCAGGGAACACCUGUGAAAAGAGAAGGCUCGUGCGUCAUAGGGCACUGCUGGAGUGAAACAUUUAUUUAUUAUUAUUUAUGUUUAUUGUGCUGCAGUUAUCACUGGGGAACCUGGCAGGGCUCCUCACACUCCAGGGAGAUGAAGACAAAUCUC